UACGUAGGUGGCAAGCGUUGUCCGGAAUUAUUGGGCGUAAAGCGCGCGCAGGUGGUUUCUUAAGUCUGAUGUGAAAGCCCACGGCUCAACCGUGGAGGGUCAUUGGAAACUGGGGAACUUGAGUGCAGGAGAGAAGAGUGGAAUUCCACGUGUAGCGGUGAAAUGCGUAGAGAUGUGGAGGAACACCAGUGGCGAAGGCGACUCUUUGGCCUGUAACUGACACUGAGGCGCGAAAGCGUGGGAAGCAAAC
rnacentral:rRNA from 1 species